CCAACAGUCCUUUUCAGGACUACACACAUUCAAGAAAGAUUUCCG
rfam:Strongylocentrotus purpuratus Contig137261_fixed, whole genome shotgun sequence.